AACUUUAAUACAGUAACCUUUGUUACUAGUUAUUUACCUGUUAUUUUGUUGCCUGUAUAGAGAUAUUUUUAGUAUUGCCUCUACAGGAGCUGAUAAUGAUGAAUGUCCUGAAUAUUUCCUCUACCAUCCAAAAGUUAUUUACAUUUAUACAUGUGAAACUUAAUUUGUCAUUAAACUGUGCUUCCAAACUCCAUAAUAUUGAUAUCAUCCUGUCAGAAGGCAUAAGAUCCACAUUCCUCAAGCUCCUUUGCAUAAUAUCAGAGAGCAUGGUUGGACUGGAAGUGCACAUUUCAGAACUGCAGAUAUUAAAAGGAACGAUAUCUCCUGGGAUGUAGAAUGAGAAGAUACGAGACCAGUGACAAACCUCUGGGUAGCUGGUAGGCUGUCUGGAAUGUGAUAAAGGAUUAAUAAUACUAUUAAAUCAGG
rnacentral:lncRNA from 1 species